GAUGAACGCUGGCGGCGUGCCUAAUACAUGCAAGUCGAGCGAACAGACGAGGAGCUUGCUCCUCUGACGUUAGCGGCGGACGGGUGAGUAACACGUGGAUAACCUACCUAUAAGACUGGGAUAACUUCGGGAAACCGGUGCUAAUACCGGAUAAUAUCUUGAACCGCAUGGUUCAAUAGUGAAAGACGGUUUUGCUGUCACUUAUAGAUGGAUCCGCGCCGCAUUAGCUAGUUGGUAAGGUAACGGCUUACCAAGGCAACGAUGCGUAGCCGACCUGAGAGGGUGAUCGGCCACACUGGAACUGAGACACGGUCCAGACUCCUACGGGAGGCAGCAGUAGGGAAUCUUCCGCAAUGGGCGAAAGCCUGACGGAGCAACGCCGCGUGAGUGAUGAAGGUCUUCGGAUCGUAAAACUCUGUUAUUAGGGAAGAACAAAUGUGUAAGUAACUAGGCACGUCUUAACGGUACCUAAUCAGAAAGCCACGGCUAACUACGUG
rnacentral:rRNA from 1 species